rnacentral:lncRNA from 1 species
UUCGAUGACGGCCCGAUCACGCAAAAAGAGAUGUGUCCAAGAAACCUAGAAUAGGUGACAAGGAAACACCGAGUGAGUUUAUAACUCAGUAAGUCAUAAGCUAUGCACUACCAUCCAUCAAUAACAUUAUCACAAGAGAAAAUAAAAUGGAACGAGGCUAAUUACUCCAUCCAUUCCGAACCAUACCAUAGUUCCUCCAACCUAUCGGUUUAAUUUCAUACCAAUUUAUGCAUUCACUGUCCACAUACUCAUCAAUAGGAUAUUCGAGGCAUUUUCAUAAAUCAUUUUAUUCUCGUUACAAACAUACAACUAAACGGCCUUUCACCCAUUCUACGAUAAAUUUCAUGUACAUGACUUCAAGUAUAUUUGUCACAUAGGUUCAAACUUACCAAGCUCAACACCAAGUAUAGACAUAGCACCUAUUAGCCAUGAACUCAAGACACUUACCCGAUCCGCCGUCCGUGAUCGACUCAAUAGCGUCGCACACUUAGUGUCCAUAAUGAUUCAAGAAUAUAUAUUAAGUCCGCACACUCAGUGCUAUAUAAUCAACUCGCACACUUAGUGCCACAUAAUCAAACUCGCACACUUAGUGCUACAUAGUCAACUCGCACACUUAGUGCCGCAUGGUCAAUUCGCACACUUAGUGCAUCAUAUUCAUUUCGCACACUUAGUGCAACAUAGUCAAAUCGCACACUUAGUGCUGUACAAUUUAAUCCCGCGCACUUAGCGCCAAUCUCAUGGUCAUAAAUGGUUAUACCCGCAUGUUUAGUGCCGAGAUCAACAACUCAGUACAUCUUACCUCUUUUCUUUUCAUUCAACAAUUUCAUCAUCACAUACGUACAUGCAUAUAUAUAUGUAUAUUUAUUCACUCCAUUCAGCAUCAAUACAUAAACAUUAUGACCAUUUGAAAUAAUACCAACUACAUGCUUAAUGACUUACCUUGUGUUGGGUAAGACGGUUCCAACUCGACUACUCAGUGAUCUUUUCUUUGCCUUUAUUGGAUCUAGUUCCCUUUUGCUCUUGAGCUUAAGUUCAACAAAAUUUAAAAUAGUCAUUAAUCGACUAUUCAAGUAUUACUUUCAGAAUAAUAUAUAUAUUGAUUUGACCUUCACACACAUAGAUUAUAGUAAGCUUUAUAAUAGUCAAUAAAUAACUCAUUGACAAAUUUUCAUUAAUGUUUACAACAAAAUCACAUAUUCACUACGAGCUGUUUUCCUGAGCAGUAGUCGCUAAAUUGUUUAUAAAUGGAGCUACAAAACUCCAAAUCACUAGCCGUUAAUUUUCCCUGAAUAUAGACUCGUAUAUCUUCCAUCCAUAAAAUUUUAAGAAUUUUUGGCUUGGCCAAUCAAUACCAGAUUUUUCUUAAAGUUUCCCCUAUUUCACUGUUUGACUAUUCUGACCACUCUUCACUACGAAUCAAAUUUCUCACUUUACAGAAUUCAAAAUGUGUUGUAUUUGAUCUCAUUUGAAACUAGACUCAUUAAGGAGUCUAAGCAUAUAAAUUUUAUCUUAUAAUCAUUUUUGUACAAUUUAUAAUGAUUUCCUAAAAACAGAACAGGGAAUCUAGUAGUCAUUUUGACUCAGCCCCACAAUACUUCAAAUAUAUCAAGAUCGGUAACUCUUUUGUUUUUAUAGUUUCUUUUGUAAGAAAAUAGACUCUUCAAGCUUUAAUGGCAUAAUUCACUCAGCUUCUAAUUCAACUCCUACAAAUUAUGGCGAUUUUCCAAAAUCACCUUACUGCUGCUGUCCCCAAACAGACUAUUACCAAAUCAAAUACUAACAUUAGCAUUUCACCUUAAUAGCUAGCUUACCAAGCCUUAAUUUAACAUAUUAAUCUUUAACAUAUCUUUCACUUUUCAUCAACAACUAUCAAAAAGCUCAAGCACUCAUCAAUGGCAAAACACAAAAUCAUCAUCAAUCCACAAAAUUGAACCAUGGGUUUUUAGAACUCAAGUCAACUACUAAAACAUGCAUGCAUCUCAAGAACAACAUCAAACAUACCUUAGUCUAGCAAACCACCAUAGCCGAUUUUCUCAAGCUCUUCCCCUUCCUUUCUUUCCUCUAUUUGGCCAAAGGUGUUCAAGAAUGAACACAUUUUUUUUUUGUUUUCUU